GAUGAACGCUAGCUUCAGGCUUAACACAUGCAAGUCGAGGGACCGGCGCACGGGUGCGUAACACCUAUCCACCCUGCCCUUUACUCGUGGAUAGCCUUUCGAAAGACAGAUUAAUACCCGAUAUAAAGGAUGGGGAUGCGUUCGAUUAGGUUGUUGGUGAGGUAACGGCCCACCAAGCCUUCGAUGGAUAGGGGUUCUGAGAGGAAGGUCCCCCACAUUGGAACUGCGACCCGGUCCAAACUGCUACGGGAGGGAGCAGUGAGUAAGAGUGGGGAAUGGGCGUUAGCCUGAACCAGCCAAGUAGCGUGAAGGAGGAAGGCUUAUGAGUAGUAAAAUUGUUUGAUAUAAGAAGAUGUAUUAUAUGAAUAAGGAUCGGCUAACUCCGUGCCAGCAGCCGCGGUAAUUC
rnacentral:rRNA from 1 species